GACGAACGCUGGCGGCGUGCUUAACACAUGCAAGUCGAACGGAAAGGCCCUGCUUUUGUGGGGUGCUCGAGUGGCGAACGGGUGAGUAACACGUGAGUAACCUGCCCUUGACUUUGGGAUGACUUCAGGAAACUGGGGCUAAUACCGGAUAGGAGCUCCGGCUGCAUGGUGGGGGUUGGAAAGUUUCGGCGGUUGGGGAUGGACUCGCGGCUUAUCAGCUUGUUGGUGGGGUAGUGGCUUACCAAGGCUUUGACGGGUAGCCGGCCUGAGAGGGUGACCGGCCACAUUGGGACUGAGAUACGGCCCAGACUCCUACGGGAGGCAGCAGUGGGGAAUAUUGCACAAUGGGCGGAAGCCUGAUGCAGCAACGCCGCGUGCGGGAUGACGGCCUUCGGGUUGUAAACCGCCUUCGCCUGUGACGAAGCGUGAGUGACGGUAAUGGGUAAAGAAGCACCGGCUAACUACGUG
rnacentral:rRNA from 1 species